rnacentral:lncRNA from 1 species
CUCACCACGACUAAGAAAGGGUAAUCUAUUUUCCAUUUUACAAAUAUUCCAAAGUAUUUUAUACAGUGUAGUGUCUUUACUUGAUUGUAAAAAAGUAAACAUGACUAAAAUAAUGGAAUAAACUCCACCACAGACAACAAAAAGAAAAUUGCCAGACAAUAUGAAAAUCAAGAAUGCUAGACUCGUUUGUAAAUAUCAAUCGUGGAAUCGCAUUGUUGAGUUUAUUUGACUCUGAUACCAUAUUGAGUCUUAGAGUUCGAUUUAGUUGAUUCUAACAACUCGUUUUAAUCUUAUAAGCCAAUCCAUUCUUGCAGGAAGGAGAAGAUUUCCAGAAUAAAGAAGAAAUGGAUAUGCUGAAAAUGAUUUUUGAGGAAGAAUGAAAGCGAUGGAAGAAGAAUAGAAUAAGCUAUAUAUGAUGCAGAAGAAGUUGUCAUAAUUUUCUGCAUAUUGUUUAUUUUAUUGAGAUUUGUGUCCCCAUGUUUUACGUAGCAAGCCAUGCAUGGUUGUAUGCAGAGUGUUUCAUGAUCUAUAUAAUAAAUAAGUGAAUGUUCAUGUUCUUGUUUAAUGGAAGUCUUGAAAUAAAUCUUUACUUUAAGU